rnacentral:rRNA from 1 species
UACGUAGGUGGCAAGCGUUAUCCGGAUUUACUGGGUGUAAAGGGUGCGUAGGUGGCUAGGUAAGUCAGAUGUGAAAACCCAGGGCUUAACUUUGGGACUGCAUUUGAAACUGCUUGGCUAGAGUGCAGGAGAGGUAAGUGGAAUUCCUAGUGUAGCGGUGAAAUGCGUAGAUAUUAGGAGGAACACCAGUGGCGAAGGCGGCUUACUGGACUGUAACUGACACUGAGGCACGAAAGCGUGGGGAGCAAAC